AUUGCAGGCUGCAACUCGCCUGCAUGAAGUUGGAAUUGCUAGUAAUCGCGAAUCAGAAUGUCGCGGUGAAUACGUUCCCGGGUCUUGUACACACCGCCCGUCACACCAUGAGAGUUGGCAACACCCGAAACCUGUGGGCUAACCGAAAGGAGGCAGCAGUCUAAGGUGGGGUCAGUGAUUGGGGUGAAGUCGUAACAAGGUACC
rnacentral:rRNA from 1 species